rnacentral:tRNA from 1 species
GCCUCAGUAGCUCAGUCCGGUAGAGCGCCCGCUUUGUAAGCGGAUGGUCGUGGGUUCAAUUCCCACCUGAGGCU